CCUUUUCUCCCCGCGCGCUCUUCUUCUUCCCCCGUCGAACCCAAGCCCUAACCACUCCUCUUCGGUUUCCUUUCUCCUUCCCCAAGCAUAAAGCUGUGAUUCUCCUCUCCUCUUACUUCUCUUCUCCACUCACUACAGACAGUAGCCAUCCCAACCCGACCUUCUUCACUUUCUCCUCCGCCCGAAGCCAGGUCGCCCGACAGACGCCGACGCCACUGCCGCUCCUCUUCCCCCAAGCGCCGGCGACGAUUUGCCACCGCUGACCUACAUCGCCAGCGACGCCGAGCACCCCUGCACAGCGCCGCUGCCGCACGGAGGUGCCGCCGGCAUCCCCGGUGCCCUAGCGCCAGCAAACGGCCGCUCCCUCUGUUGUGAUUUGGCAGCACCACUGACACCCCAAUUUCCUCUUCCUCCUUGUUCUUCUCGACACCGAUCAACACUCGAGAGCCGGCAGCCGAUCUCCUCUUCGUUACUGUCGGUCUCCCUUCUUUCCUCUGUGACUAUGUCGACCACUGGAUUGGGCGACACCAGUCGGUCUUCUCCCAUUGCUGCUCCCUCUGCCUUGUUCAUAACCAGUGCAGCAACUAGGUUUCAUCAGAGAGGAAAUCUUGAGUCAGAUUGAGUGAAGUAUCCCGCAAGUGUUGGUGCUGUGGAUCAACACUCAAGACUGUAAUUAUGAUCGUGAGGUGAAGUAGGACUUGUUGUGGGGUUAUUCUUGGUUCUGAUCAGUCACUCCAUUCAGUAGCUACUGAUUCCAGCAGCAAGAACGACUGCGGAACUUGAGGACUUUGGUUCGAGACGAGCAUCUCGACGUUGGAUUUGACUGGAUUUGACCUUCCUAU